UCCCUCUGGGCCCUUGCCGGCCGCUUGUAGAACCGCGCUGCCGGCGCGGGCAGUCCCGAGCGGCCGCCUGCCCGCAGGCCCCGCUGCGCUCCCAUCGGUGUGAACUCCCGCCUGACCCUGGGUUCUGCCCGUUGCUCCCCCACCCUCCUCUCACCCGCCCUGCGGCCGCAUGUCGCCCUUAGUUCCCGAUGUGCUUCUUACUCGCCCGCUUCUUGGAAUUUAGGUGGAAUUCCGUGGGAGCCACUCGCACUCCCUAGCACUCCCGCAGCUCCCCUUCGAGCUGCCGAAACCCCUGUUCUCUCUGCUUCGCCUGUGCCCCUGGCCCGGCCAGCUGACACAAGUCGGGCAGGGCCACCUCUCACCUGAGUGCCAGCAUGGCCUCACUGCGAUUAAGUGCCCCGGGUCAGGUUGCUGCUUUUUAAUCUUGUACUUCAACUGUCCACAACCUUUCCUUGGUUUCCUUCUCGUCCAGCUUCUGCCUGAACCUCGUUUUCCUUCCCCUCCUCAGCCGCCUUGGUUCUCUCAUCAUGCUCCCUCACAGCCAUGGGCAAGAGGUUCCUGAGAUUUUCUGAUGCCUCACAGACUGUGAUCCAACCUUCCCACUUCUGGUCCCAUCUCCAGACACAAGCAUUGCUCAUCAAGCAUGGGAAGUGGUGUUUAAUACAACUGAAAUUCAAGCAGGGUAUCGCUCCUUUCAUUUACUGAAUCGCCUUCAUUAGGUGCAACAGCCACCACUGAAUAGGUGCCAGGGAGAAAGUCCUAAAACCUGUGCCUGUCAUAAUUUAGCUUAAAAUGCUUGCUGUGCGCCUAGCAGCCUCUGCAGCUUUUAAAAAAUAAUUGUGUUAUUUUGGAUUGCCUUGGUUUGAUUUCAUUUCAAAAUCCUUUUCCAGUUUUGCCUGGGUUUUUUUGGGGGUUGAAAUCAGCAGCAGUGUAUGUAACUUUUUUUUUUUCCUAACAAGAAAGUUGCUAUAAAAAGUUUAGCUUUUGCUGCUACAGCUUGGUCUGAAAACUCUCCUGCGAUUAAAAAUGCUUCGUUUGCUCCUGUGUCUCUAAGAAUCCCUCACUUCCUUCUUUAAAUUCCUGUCUAAUUAAAAAAACAGUACAUCAUGGUUAAAUAAAACUGUACCCAGGAUAACCCUGAUUUCCAUAUGCAGAUUUAUCUGCACUGACAGCCCCCUCUCCCUCUCUUGGUCUGUUUCCUCUCUCCCUCCCUCUCUCUCCCUCUUCCCCUCUCUUUCUCUUCCUCUCUCUUUUUGUCUCUCUUUAUGUCUAUUGCAUUAUGCCUGAAUAAUUUUCAGCCUUUUUUUUUUUUCUUCCCCUCUGCACACACAAGCUAAAAUAACUAGACAAAGAUGCAAGGUGGUUGCUGCAGUCCCUGUCUCUAGGACAAAACCAAGAAAGCUCCUGAUUGUAAUGCCACCUUUUUUUUUUCCUUUUUUUUUUUUUCUUUCCUCACCCAUGCUUGGUGAUUAAACUUGCCCAGGAUGGGGAAGAAAAAGGAGCUGGAAAUGAAAUAAGGUUGAGGAAAAAUCCCAUUGCAGCAGCUGCAGCCAGUGGUGUCUGUUGCCAGAUGUGCUAAGCUUCCUGGGGUCCUUGACACUAAAAGGCAGUAUUAAAAUAUUUGGAGACAAAAGCUGCAUCCUCAGUGAUCAUUUUCUUUAUUUAACAUGGCAGCAGGCACCGUGAGGGGGAAAAUCAACACGCUGGAUGUUGAAUUGGACUUUCCUCCUUUCUAGGAUGAAAGGAUGUUAUCUAUCCCAUGCCAAGAGGGAACUGAGGUGCAGGGGGAGGGAAAGAAAGUCUCCAAAACCAGCCCGCCAUGAGCAAUGAACGUAUGGCUGUUACUAUCAGCACUGGUGUGUUUGCAGCGAUGCCUAUCAACAUCCACCAGAGAGCAGGGCAGCUCCAAAACCCACAUCUUUUAUGCUGUGGAAAUUGAUGGAGACAGCAACACAGCCAGCUUCUUGGCCAAACAACAUGGAAUGCAGUUCAUUUCAAAGGUACUGGUCUUUUAGCCUGUAAGGCUUGUGCAUGAUGUGUAUGAGAGCAAUUUCCAGCAGAGCGAAGCUUAUCACAGAUCCACCUAAAAGGAGGAGACAGUGGCAUCAGCAACAUGCCCCUGAGUCUGGAAGACAUCACUCGACGGAAGAACAGUCUGUUAGACUCCUCCUGGAAGUGAUGCCAGUGGGGGAGGAAAAUAAUUCCAGGAGCUGAGGGAAUGGUUAUAGCGUCUCUAAAGAGGACACUUGCCUGUGACUGUCAAUGCAUUGAACUGAGUGUUCUAAUUCUAGAUAAAUAAAUAGAAAGAAAGCUUUCUGCUGCUGUAGGCUGUGCUGAAGACUGCACCGUUUCAUGCUAAGGAUGGACUUUGCUACAGUAAUUCAAGGCUUGUUUGUCGCCAUGCUGGAUUACUUCAGAGACUUCUACUUGGGUUUGUCAGCUGCACACCAUUGAAACAUCAGAUGUUAAAGCCUGAUGACAUUUCUGAGUAACAUGAAGAGCACAACCUGCUAUUUAGACAUGUCAGCAGCAGGCGGCAUCAAAAUACCUUCAAGGAUGUGGUCAUUCUCUCCAGAUCUCCCUGUGGGUGAGCACCUUCGGGAUGGAGUCCCCAUGGGACAGAGACCAGGACAAUACUUUAAAGCAAGGACUGAAGCGUUAUAGUGGAUGUUCUUUGGCCUAAAAAGAGGGAUGGGAUUUGCCAGCUAGUGAACAGAAGGGGAAAGUGCCUUUUUAACCUACCAUUUCCUCCAGUACAGUGGCAUCUCUUCUGCUCUCCAUUUGCCUUUCGAAAAUAAGUGUGUUUCUACCAGUACUUAUGUUUAGGUUUCAGUAUGAUACUUGAUACAUGUUGUGUUAUGAUGUUAUGCCUGUAAAUUCUUAUGCAUGUAUGUAUUUUCAUGAUAUUUCAAUAAAGCCAUCAAGAUUUAAAUUCAACACAAAACAAAAGCAAAUGGGUAAGAAUAUAUGAAAAGAGAUAAACCCAUUAUCAACUUUAUUAUGUGUGUUGUUUGCUAAAAACAUCAACUUUGAUUUAGCUUUUUGAGGUAAAUCCACCGGAGACUUAUUUUACAAAAUUAUAAAAAAUUCUGAAACUGUCACUUAUGUUUUUUUUCUCUAAUACUUUACAGACUGCUAAGACUACGAAGUAGUGGAUUAAUAUGAGGGGAAGAUGACCACUACCUGUGAGAUGACUUUCCUCCUUUUCCAGUAUAUAUUUAUGGUGCUAUAUAAUAGAUGUGUCGUGUUCUAAGUCAUGACAUAUUCUUAUGGAUCUUUGCAACUCCUUUUGAUGAAAAAUGUUUCUGCAUCUGUAAGUAACAUGGCUACUGUAAUAAAUAGGGGGAAAAGUAAUGAAAAGAGCAAAAUAAUUAAAGCUCAAAUAAACAGUUUUUGUCAUUUCUAAUAUGUAAUAUUUAACUUUUAUUUCAUGCUGGGAAGAACGAGUGUUAUUAGAAUCAUGUUAUGAUUAAGGGUUAGCGUUUAGUUCUCUUAUUUAUGGUAAGUAAAAUCUAGCAAAACCAAGGAAUUGUCUUUCAUAAAACUUUUGAGCAUCAGAAUUUGUCUCUUUGUCCCUCCUCCUACCAGUAUAACACAGCCUGUUGGUUCUGGUCACUGCAGCCAGCAUACACCUGAUGAUGGUGACCGUGAUGACACUCCCAAGACUUUUGUGCCUCCAUUACUUUCUCCAGGCCUGAAAUGAGGUGAGGCUGCAGGCAACCAGGGUAAUGUCAUUAGAAUCUCAUCAAACCUGGCUGUUAAGGAAUCGUUUGAUAAAGUGGAAGGAAUUAUUUCUGCUGCUUGCACUGACAAUGAAAAAAGGGCAAGGGAAAAGUUUUGGAUGUAAAAGUAUUACCCCUUGCAGAAACAGCACAAAUCGGCUGCAGUUUGUUUUGCUCUCACAUCCUUGCUCUAGUACAGGGGUAGGCAGGGCAGGCAGGGAUUUUGCAGAUGACAUUUCUGUAUCGAUUUUGUAUAAUAAUGCUGUACAUGCUUGGUUUGGGCUGCAAAAUUCACAGUGUGAACUACUUAACUUCUGCCUCUUUGGCAGUAGAGAAUUGUGAGGCUAAAAUAAACUUCAGUUCCUCUACCCUUGGUAGUUGUUUGAUGCACCUGAAAUCCCAGAGCUAGGAGUUCAGUAAGUUUGUGCUUACACAUGGCUAUGUAUUUACUUAUGAAACCUAUUUUUUAUCCCAAAGCCCAGUUCAUAGCCACAGACAACUCUCUACAGGUUUUCUAAACAUCAUUGUCUUAUCGAGCUUUUAUUUUUAAUCUGUUCUUAAGAGUAGAUCACACUUGGGGCUGAUGUGUGAGGCCAAAGGGAUUGUCUUUUUCUGUAGCCCCCAGCCUGUUUUUUCACCAGCAUAAUUUUCCAACAUUUCUGGGUUUCACUUUCUUCUUUCUAGUCCCUCUUAUCUUCAUGCGGAGUUUUUUUUGACUGUUAAUAUCAUCUUGUGCACAUAUUUUUUUUCCCUUUUUCUUCCCUCCCCCUCACAUCCUUUGUUCAUACAUCCCCUUUGUUUCCUGUUUCAGUUCAUACACUUCUUUUUUCCUGGUCUCUUUUGCACACCUUGGUUUGUUCUCCCUCCAUUCAUAGUACAACUGGGAAAAUAACAUGCUCCACACCUGGGGAGGUGGAUCUUCACUAAUGAUGGUGAAGUUUCACCACGUAUGUUCACAGGCUGGAAAUACCAAUGUGGUUCAGUGUCACUGACCAUUUUUCGUGGGGGAAGAUAUUUAAAUUAGAGGCUUUCAGUAGUGUUCUUCAUAAUGUAAAAUGUUUUAGCUUCAAUUUACUUAGUAUCUGAAUAUGAGUUAGACAAAAUAAUUGUCAGUAUUUGGACUGAUGAUGAAGCCUCACCUUAUACAUCUUAAUUUUCUUUGGGUUUGUGUGAACUGUUGAACUUUGCAAUUUGUUUGUAUCUAAUUCGGUAUUAAAUUCUUGGCUGCCUCAACUUAUUUUAUUGCCACUCAUGGCACUACAUUGAUGGUAAGCAUAACACCAGUUGCAUAUAUUUGUUCAAAUGAAUACUACCUAUCAUCUGAUCUUUAUUUAAACCUCAUUUUACCAUAUUUUUGGAAGCUUUAAAAAUGCAGACAAUGUUCUGAAUUGUGAUUAGAAGUAAACAGCAAAUUAUCAGAGUAUUUUGGUCAAAUAAGAAAAUGGAUUCCUUUACUGGAAAGAGACACAAUAUUCACACUGGGUUGCAGAUGGUUAGAAGUGGCAGUCAAUAAGCUUUGACAGAAAAGAAAUAGUACAGCACUAUUAUUUCUUAUAAACCACCAGAGCCUAGCAUUUUUUUAAACCAAAAUCUUGACCAGAACUCCUGAAUAGUAAUGAAAUAAUUCUUGUAAGAAACAUUAAAAAUAUUUGAAAUAAUAAUUUUUGAGGUUUGUAUUGUCCCAUUAUGUCUAGCAGCCAACAGGAAGCCAAGGACAUUUUAAGAAAAGUUUAUUAAAAUCCAUUGCAUUUGAAAAUACUUAGAUCUACAUUUCUGAUGUCAGAGACUGCUUCAGGUUCUUUCCCUAUGGAUACAGAUUAUUGUUUGUUUUCAGAAUUGCUGAAGCCAGAAAUAUAGUCUGUGAGUUUGAGUGAACUUUCUUCACCUAAUUUCAAAUCUGCUUGAACUUAGUGACUUUUUGUAUUUGAUUUAAGCUUCUUUGAGUUUGCAUUCAAUAAAGGAGGAGAGUAUAGGUGAAGGGAGAAGAGACAGAAAAUCCAAUGCAGAAAUAUCAAGAAAAAAAGUUUGAUAUACAUGCCACAUGUGAAUAACUUGUUUCUCUUUUAGUAUCUUCUGUGUUUUGCAGCAGAGAAGCUUUCCUCGGCAAAGAAAAUAAUCAAGUUGCCAUUUUAAAAAAAUUUAAUCAUGCACAAAGUAUUUAUACUUCAUCAGCUGCAGCCUUAGCAGACAAACAAAUAUGAUGAUUUAUUUCUGUCCAUCUUUUCAACAUGUUAUUCCAAAAGCAAGUCAUGGUAUGCCAGAAGACACGUGAAAUGGAGUAAUCUAUGUUGCUUUCCUCUUACUGUCUGCUAGAAAGUCUGUCCAUCCCUGACUUUAAUCACAUCUGCUUAGUGGUCAAACUAAUUCACCCUGCUGGCCAGAUAAUCUAGUUCGGUGUCCACUGCUGUUAUUACAGACUGGAGGUCAAAUCCUUUAUCUGUUUUCUCCAGACUCAGCUGGACACUGUUUCUUGCUGGGAAUUUUUAGAAGGCAGCGAUAAAUCUUAUUGCUAAUAUCCCAGGAGGUAGUAACAUGCCCUCUUAUAGGUUUAUCUUCAGAAUUUUUCCAGGCUAUGAGAACUUGAAUAAAACCUUUUGAAAGUCCUGGGGAGUUUUGUUUGUUUGGUUUUGGUUUUGUGUGGGUUGGUUUGUUUGGGUGGGGGUUUUUGUUGUUGUUUACCUUUUUUUUUUAAUUUUUUUUAGAUUUUUUUAGUCUGUGCUGCAAGUAUCUCCAGUUACUCCAAACUGAAUUGUGAACUGUCAGCGGAGUCGUCUGAGACUUUGUCUUCAUUUUUAUGUCCAUAAACAAGAAUAUAGUCAAAUCCCACUGUCAAUAUUAUGGCUACCUGUGUGUACAGGUAGUCUUUUGUAGCAUAACCAGCUUGCUUGUUAUAGUCUGGAUAUGUGCCAGACCUGACAUGCAGUGCAUGUGGAUUUGGGGAAUGUUGCACUAUGGAGAACUCCAUUUGUCUGACAGUAAUUCCUGGAUGGUGAAGAGCAGUGAUUUUCUGCCUAUGAUCUAUGGAGAUGAGUAUGUGGCUUCUGAGUUGAGUGCAAAAGGCAACUUGAAAGAAGUUUUUAUGUUAUACUAUGGUUUGUGUGAAAUCUGUCAUUUAUGGGUCAAAACCAAUAAAGCCACUUGUAUACAACUGUGAAAA